AUAAUCUGUGCAAUCGUGAUGUGAUGGAGGAAAGUGAUUAGUACAUGCAAUUUCGUCGAAUAUUACGAAAGAAAUAUGCUUAGUGAAAAUUCAUUUAAAUAUACAUUUGUUAAAGAUUUCUGGGAAAGUGUGUUUCGGUAGGCUUGUUGAUUUGUGAAAACAAAAUGCAAAGUAUUUAUCUGUGAUCUAUUAUAAUCAUGAGUACGAUGAAGAACCCAAAUCCAUCGUCUUCGAAGGCGGCUUUGCUAAGCCACAUUAAAUACGAGCACCUGGUAGCUGGUAUAUCGGGUGGUGUUACGUCUACGUUGAUUCUGCACCCUUUGGACCUCAUUAAAAUUAGAUUUGCUGUGAAUGACGGCCGGACCGCCACAGUACCGAGGUACGAUGGGCUCAGCAGCGCAUUUGUGACCAUAGUGAAGAAAGAAGGUGUAAAAGGGCUGUACAGAGGUGUCACGCCCAACGUGUGGGGCUCUGGCUCCGCGUGGGGAUUCUAUUUCCUAUUCUACAAUGCAAUAAAGACAUGGAUCCAAGGCGGCAACGCGCGCAACCCGCUAGGCCCUGGCAUGCACAUGCUUGCAGCUGCCGAGGCUGGAGUCCUAUCACUCAUAAUGACUAACCCUAUCUGGGUGGUGAAGACACGACUAUGUCUACAGUAUAGUGAAGAACAUGUGGCGGACAAUAAGAGAUAUAAGGGCAUGGUGGAUGGACUGUGCAAGAUUUAUAGGACUGAGGGGAUCAGGGGAUUAUAUCGGGGUUUCGUGCCCGGCAUGUUUGGCGUGUCGCACGGCGCGCUACAGUUCAUGACCUACGAGGAGAUGAAGAACCGCUACAACCAGUACCGGAACCUGCCCAUUGACAUUAAACUGACGUCAGUGGAAUACCUAACCUUCGCCGCGAUCUCGAAGCUGAUCGCCGCGGGCGCCACCUACCCGUACCAAGUAGUCCGGGCUCGCCUUCAGGACCAACACCGCGUGUACCGCGGCGCCUGGCACUGCGUCACCGAGACCUGGAGGUACGAACGCCUCCGCGGCUUCUAUAAGGGCCUCACGCCGUACCUGCUACAUGUAACGCCUAACAUAUGCCUAGUUAUGCUCAUUUGGGAAAAGUUCACCAACAACGAUUAGAUGUACGUCUGAUGGGAACGCGACUGUACUUAAGAUAGGAUUUAAUUGUUUUGGAGUCUUUCAGUGUGCCGGACCGUGGUCUGCUGGUCUGCGAGUAUUCACAUGACGCGGUAGAAUAUAAUUAUAUUGAACCUACAUAUGUUACUAGAUCCGUUUUGGAGUCGACAAAUUUGGACAAGGAGAUGAGAAUAUUCUAAAUAAAAUAUACGUAGAUCGUCUCUAGCCCACCCAGGUGCCGUAGCCGAAUGGCAUUUCUGCGACGCGAAACGAAACGAAACGACGCGAAAGGUAGUCUGGCUUUGUCGCGUCAAUACGCAAGAGCGAUAGAGAUAGAUACAUACUAGCGCUUCGUUUCGUGAGCAUUUGUGCCAUUCGGCUACGCACCCAGAUGAUUUAAAAUUUUAAUCUAUUUUGUAUAAGUAAAUUGAAAAAUAAAGUUUUGCUAGAAUUUUGUGUAGAAAUGUAGUUUUAAAAAUAAUACGUCUUCAUAUUUGUCUCUUGCAGAAUUUAUCUAGUAAUCUAAGUAGAAAAUACAAUCGUCCAAAUUUUUAACCGUUAAAUUAAGCCUUUCAAAAAGACAUUUCUUGAAUGUUCAGUUAAGACUAUUGGAGUUAUUAAAAUUAAUUCGACACAGACGAAUAAGGACGAAUAAUAAUAUUCAUCAUUAAAGAAAGCACAAUAGGCUACUUUCCUAUACUUAAAAUAAAAUAUACAUGCAGAGCCCGAAAUAAAGCACCACAUAAUUAGAAGAAAAAUAUGGACAGUAGUUAUGUUUAAAUGUAAUUUCUAUUUAAUAAGUCAAAGAGAAAGAUAUAAACUAUAAAGCAAAUGAAUUGACCCUGACGUCACUCCUCAGUAUUUCAUGGUAAUUCCAUAUUAGGAAAUCGUUUUGACAGUCCUUAAAAAGAAGCUGAUUUGACUAGUAGGAAACUAGCCUAUUACAUUCAUCAGUUUCCGAUUUUUUGCCGAAUUAUAACAAUUUCGUAAUAAUUACAAUAUUGCUCUCAAUUUAGAAAUAUGUGUCGAUAAUUAAAUAAUUAUGAUCUGUAGGGACAGUCAAUUAUGUCAUACCAUUAUUGGUUUACACUAUUUUAAGUUUUAGCUAGUCUAAUCCGAGGAAUUAUUCUGUAAAAAGUUAUAAUUCUGACCAUAGCCACUUUGUCAAUAGAUGAUGUUACGAUAAGUAUUGUUAAAAUACAAAAGCAAACGUCAUGUCUGUCUAGACAAUAUUUGUAUUUUGCCACAACUAUCUACUCUAAUAUUUAUAUUAACUCCUACUGUUAUUAUUGUUUUUCAUUGGAUCGGUACUAUAAUAAAAUCGCGUAUUUUUUGUGCGGUAUUCUUUUUUUUCUGAUUUUAUGAAAAUUAAAAGUCUUGGCACUUAUCUUCGAUCUUUUGGAAUGCAAAGCCACGAGGGCAUUCGCGGAUUCUACAAGGGCCUGAAGCCAAGCCUGGUGCGAGUGGUCCCCGCUACCAUGAUCACGUUCCUCACGUACGAAAACGUGUCUCACUACAUGCUGCGGCGCGGACGCGAGAUGGCGC